CAAAGGCAGGUGCAGACCAACUGAAGACGUCUGGAGCAACCACUGAAAAUGGGAACUGUGAGGCAUGUACUACCUGGGAAUGAUGCCAACUGCUGACAAAAGGCUUUACUGCACGUCUUUGAGAGAAGCCUUUAACUCACUGGCUUCAGGACAACUCAGCACAGAGCUGUUUGGCCAGCAGCAGAUAAAUCUGUCAACCCUUUUAGCUUUGUUACCAGACAGAAUUGGGCAGGGAGGAAAGAGGGCAUGGCCCAAAAGCUGCUCUCAAGCUCCAGCCCCUGUUCAAGUGGGGUUGCUGGCUUACACACUGCUCAGCCUUUCCCUCGUUCCCCAGGUAAAAGAAAGAGGUUCGCCAGAUUUCCUCACCUACCUGCAAAUCUAUCUGUCCUUAAGGCUGAGGUAGUAGAUUGAAUAGUUGUGGGGUUAAUGUCCUCCUUUUGAGAGAACUAUACAAUCUACUGUCUUUCCAAAGGAAACAGAAUGAGCUGCUGUCAAAUUGGAGCCUCUUCAGUUAAGGAAUUCAGCAAAAAAAGAAAUAAAUUCUCAAUCCAAAGGCAUCCAUUUAACACCACACAAUAGGAAGUAUAACUAUGUCAUUAACCAGCUGCUAUGCAAAGAAGCUGAUUUACACUAUUUGUAUUGCUUAAGCAAGAACCUGUUUCACAAAUAACAUGAAUAUGUGCUUGAAGUUGAGCCUAGCAAGGUGAGGUAGUAGGUUGUAUAGUUUGUGGGAUGGAUCAAAUCCUACUCAGGUGAUAACUAUACAGUCUCUUACCUUCCUUGACAGGUACAAUGAGUGCUUGGAAUCCCUCUCUUCUGCAAACCCACAAAGUGACAAAGCCUCUUUAAUGCCACCGUGUGGCUAAAAACUCAUGUCUACAUUUGAAAAACUGCAAGUUGUAUCUGGAGAUCUGAAGCUAAAUGCAACACUUUUUAGGUUUAAUAUGUAUAUGUAUAUUGCUGACUUGUUUAUAUUUGAUUCUCUUUAAAAAAUAUAUAUAUAAUUUUGGAAAAUUAUUUUCUUAAAUGCUACUUAUUGGGCAGUCUAAUGUGAAGAAGGGGAUAUGUUUUGUUUGUAUCAUUCAUGAUCUUGGAGAAUACUAAAUAACACAAUGUUACGUUCAUUUUUUUAAACAUAUCAUGUAACUGAAUUAAAUAUUAAAAUAUCACAGCCUAAACUACAAGUAAUUAAGUAUUUUUGUCACUUUAAAUGCUUUGUUUUAAAUGCGGUUUUCAAUUUUAAAACAAAAAUUGGAAACAAUCUAUGAAAAGAGGAUAGAAAAACAUGCUUUUUUGUUUUGAUUCUGUUUGGUGAAUUUCUAUGUUACCUUCAAGGAUGGCCAAUGUCCUCAGUGCUUUUAGUCUGCCUUUAUCAGGACGGGCCUGAGGCAUAAGCAAACUUUAUGGCUGCUUAGAGUUCCAUAUUGGCAAUGGAACCUGAAGAGAACCAAAUUAAAACCUGAAAAGAACCAAAAUAAACAGUGAAAUAUUUCACUACAUGUCCACAUAUUUGAAAGUUAUCAUAAUCAGCAGUUGUGUUGUUACGAUAAUUUUUUAUUUCUGUGAUUGGAUGUCCUCUGGACUCAGUGCAGGAGGUGGGAAACAAAAAGGAUCCUUACAGUAUAUUAACAUCUUUGAUGGAUAAUGCAUGAAGCUGGUGCUGAACUGGAAAGCUCCUUCAGUGACAGACUGCUGCACCCUAAAUGCAUCAGGGAGCAUUAUCACAGAUCCUUCCUCCCAGCAGCUGUAAGACUUUAUA